ACAGCAUCUUAAACAGGUCGUGGCCUCUGAGCGGUAGGCCAGGAUUUGGUAGCUGGUGCUAAGAUCAAAUCUCUCUCGCAACACUCCCGCUGGCAACUGUGGGCUUUCUGGGACUAUUCUGGGAGAGAAACAACC